rnacentral:lncRNA from 1 species
GUUUAUCCCUUUCAUUUUUGCUAAUGGCUGUCACUGCUUUUGCAGCUCGGUGCUUCUUCCUCUCUGAGCUCUGGUGUGGAUCAGCCUGGGCAGGGCUGAGCAUGAGAACGAGACAGAGCUGGGAGCCAACCUCUUCCUCCCCAUGGUUAAUGCUGUCCUGCCACUUCCACAGCUGGGCAUCCUCCGUUUCCAUGGCUUUAUAUCCGACAACCAAGGUCCCAGCCCCAGGAGCCCUCCAGGACCAGGCACAGCAGCUGCACCAGGACACGCUUUUAUUAACAACACCUGUAGCAAAGCAAAAGGGGAAAGAGGUGACUCUUCUCAGCAGAUGGCGAGUAAGAGACAAAAGGUACCUGAAAUCAGAAAGGGAACAAGAUCCCAGUUGUGUGGCUGAAUUCGAGAUGGAAAGAAGACACCCUCUUUGAGUAAUUUAGUAUUUUUUGUAUUGAAACAAAAUACUGAGCAGUCAGCCUAGGAAGUGUCAAACACGGUUAUUUAACAUAAGAGGUAAAUAACAAGUAUUAAAGUUGUCUGGUGGAGGCUGCAGCAAGCAGUAACUCUUGAGCAGAGACUGAAUCCCAGCGCUCAGCUAUUUGUGCCUGACAGCCACAUCCACCCCAAAAUGUCUUCUGCCAUCUAUUAACGCACUUGCCACAGUCUCUGUCUCGAACGGUGACCCUCAUUUACAGCUGUAACCUCAGCCCGUUGCCCUGGUAGUUAAUAACAUCCCUGUGCAGGUGCUGCUGACGUGUGAUCCAUCCUGGCUCCGCGGGCCUUCGUUAACAAUUAGCAGCAUUAACAACACUCUCAGAUGGUGUCAGCAGCUCGCUCAUCACCGUGGGGCUGUGAGGGGCUGUAAUUGGAGCCAUCUGUUUGAAGGGUUCUGUUUGCUCCAGCUUGCUGGUGGAGCUGUCGUCUCCGCUCUUGCUCAGGCAGAGCUCAUGGAGAAGAAUUCUGUCCCAAUGUCCCGCCUGACCCUGCCCUCUGUGGGGGCACACAUUCCCUGCGUCCUGCCCCCCAGCCCCUUGUCCCCUUUCAUCUCUUUUGGGGACCCUUUGCACACUGGAAGGGGCUCUGAGGUCUCUCUGAGCCUUCUCCUCCCAUGGAGCACCCCCAGCUCCCAGCCUGGCUCUGUGGAUCAGUGUUGGGUGUUUAGCAGUGGCUCCAUCGGGCUGGAUCCUGGUGACUCCCCUGGGAGGGAAGGAUUGUCCCCAGCCAGGCCAGGGAGGUGACAGGCAGGUGCCAGUCUGAGACCUUGCUGUGACCAUGCAGACAAUCCUUCCUGCAGUUUGCAGCAGCACUGGAAACAGAAAGCUGCCUGAGGUGGAAUCCUUCCCUCAGGUCCCUGGGGUGGAGGCAGAGCUCUCCUCCCUCCCCACAGGCACCAAAGGCUUUGGCAGGGGAGUGCAGAGCUGCUCAGGGACUGCCAGCGCUGGGGAAUGACUGCUGGGAGCAUUGGUGGCCUUGCCCCUUGGGCAGGACCCUGGGGAUGCUGUGCCCUCCCCUGGGAGACCUCUGUGCCUCCAGCCCCGGCAGCCCCAGCCCCUGAACCCUGGGCAAUUAUGCAUGCGAGCUGCUGCUGAAAUUAGCUGCACAUGUUUAUAUUAACAUGCAAAUAAAGCAGCUUCAAAUAAACCA